UACGGAGGGUGCGAGCGUUGUCCGGAAUCACUGGGCGUAAAGGGCGCGUAGGCGGCCUGAUAAGUAGGGGGUGAAAUCCUGCGGCUUAACCGCAGGGCUGCCUUCUAAACUGUCAGGCUAGAGCACGGUAGAGGCAGAUGGAAUUCCCGGUGUAGCGGUGGAAUGCGUAGAUAUCGAGAGGAACACCUGCGGCGAAGGCGGGUAGCUGGGCCGACACUGACGCUGAGGCGCGAAAGCCAGGGGAGCGAACGGG
rnacentral:rRNA from 1 species